UCCUGUUCAGUAUAAUUCCAAUUCCUUUAUGGCCCUUUUUAUAUCCUUUAGCAAUACAGACUAGUACAGAACCAUCACCAAAAGGUUUCUUACUGGUUUGGAACAUAGGGAAGAAUGGAAGUGUUUGAUGAAAUUGGGCAGAGAAAUCUUGACUGAGGAAGUUGGAGGAGUGCCAGUUUCUAGGGCAAGGUGGCAGAGAAGAAGGACCCGAGCUCACCUACUCUCAUGAAAAAAACAAAAUCACAACUAACAGCUGAACAAUCAUCAACAAAAAAGACUGGGAACCUACCACUAAAAAGAAGAGGCCAUAAUGAGACGGCUCUUUGGCAGAAGGAGAACAUGAGUUUUAGAUCUGUGGGUUCUGAGGAUUAUAACAUGGGAAGCAUGUUUCAAACUGACUAUCACAGAGUCAAGAGUGUCUUUGGAAAAUACAUCACACAUUCACCUGCUCAGAAUAGAAACAACCCAUAUAUUCCACAGUGAAGAAAGAAUAUCAAGAGAAGCAUUGUCAGAGCUUCUGGAUAUUUCUUACCAUAUGAGGAGUUAAGAAGUGAAUGUGGAAGCUUCAUGAAAUUCAAAUAUUUUAUUAAUAUAAUUGAAAUUGUUUUAUGAUUUGGGAACUUACUGAUAAAGCUUUGUAAAACUGUAGAUAAUAAACUAUAUUUAGUUACAUAUUGAAUAAGUCAUUUUCAUCAAAGUCACCCUGCUCUUUUAUUGUACUUACAAAGCUUUAUUACAACAAUAACAUUUGUAAUUUUUAUUCAUUGUUUAAUAUUGUUUGUUCCUUACUUAACUGUAAGCUCCAGGAAUGCAGGAACCAUAUUUUUUAGUUUAUCAUUGUAAA